rnacentral:rRNA from 1 species
GAUGAACGCUGGCGGCGUGCCUAAUACAUGCAAGUCGAGCGAACAGACGAGGAGCUUGCUCCUCUGACGUUUGCGGCGGACGGGUGAGUAACACGUGGAUAACCUACCUAUAAGACUGGGAUAACUUCGGGAAACCGGAGCUAAUACCGGAUAAUCUAUUGAACCGCAUGGUUCAAUAGUGAAAGACGGUUUUGCUGUCACUUAUAGAUGGAUCCGCGCCGCAUUAGCUAGUUGGUAAGGUAACGGCUUACCAAGGCAACGAUGCGUAGCCGACCUGAGAGAGUGAUCGGCCACACUGGAACUGAGACACGGUCCAGACUCCUACGGGAGGCAGCAGUAGGGAAUCUUCCGCAAAGGGCGAAAGCCUGACGGAGCAACGCCGCGUGAGUGAUGAAGGUCUUCGGAUCGUAAAACUCUGUUAUUAGUGAAGAACAAAUGUGUAAGUAACUAUGCACGUCUUGACGGUACCUAAUCAGAAAGCCACGGCUAACUACGUG